CCGGCCGCCCCGAGGACCAACAGCCGAGCAGAGGGCAGCGCCUCAGGCACGGGUGCGACUGCCAGGACGGGUGGAAGAAACGGCGAAGCCGCCGGAGACGAGCGGUGGGGUGAGGAAACAAGAGCGAGGGGCAGGAGGGGGAAGAGCAAGGAGCGGCCGGCGGCGCCGAGCAGCGCCCGGGGCUGGAGCAGACCUGCCCGACCACCUGCGGAGAGCCCCCGUCGGGGCAGGGCAGCGCCUGAGGGGACGCAGCAGCCCGGGAAACCGGCGGUGCACAUAGGAGCUGGGACACUUGCAGUUGUCCCAGCACAGGCCAUGUUGGGAGAGGACAAGGUUUUGCCUGUUGAGAGACCCGUGUUCCGGCCGUGCAGGUUUCUGAAGAAUUUUACAAGCUCAGGUGUGCCAAGACCAAAAUUCCAGACGAGACGCUAUCCGUCCCGCUGGACUUUGAGCAGAUCGCCGCGGACAUCCACUUCCGCCGAGAAAUCGUCGAGCAGUGCAUCCACGAGACCCUGCUUUUCUUCGCUGGGGCCCUGCGAGACAACAAGGAGGUGGAAUUCUCCUUCAAGGGCAUUGGCAUCCUCGCUGUGCGAAGAAAAGCCGUCAGCAUGACCUUCUUCGAUGACUGCCUGCUGGAGCUGGACGCCACCGGGAACAUGCUGGCAGCUCUUCUGGAGGACUCCAAGAUGAGGGGUAUCGUGGCCUUCCCGGGCAAAAACGAUUUUACGCGGCUCAGCCGAGACGGGGUCAUCACGCUGC